rnacentral:rRNA from 1 species
GACUCCUACGGGAGGCAGCAGUGAGGAAUAUUGGUCAAUGGGCGCAAGCCUGAACCAGCCAUGCCGCGUGCAGGAAGACGGUCCUAUGGAUUGUAAACUGCUUUUAUACAGGAAGAAACCUCCCUACGUGUAGGGACUUGACGGUACUGUAGGAAUAAGGAUCGGCUAACUCCGUGCCAGCAGACGCGGUAAUA